UGCCAGCAGCCGCGGUAAUACGGAGGGUGCAAGCGUUAAUCGGAAUUACUGGGCGUAAAGCGCGCGUAGGUGGCUUGAUAAGCCGGUUGUGAAAGCCCCGGGCUCAACCUGGGAACGGCAUCCGGAACUGUCAGGCUAGAGUGCAGGAGAGGAAGGUAGAAUUCCCGGUGUAGCGGUGAAAUGCGUAGAGAUCGGGAGGAAUACCAGUGGCGAAGGCGGCCUUCUGGACUGACACUGACACUGAGGUGCGAAAGCGUGGGUAGCAAACAGGAUUAGAUACCCUGGUAGUCCACGCCGUAAACGAUGUCGACCAGCCGUUGGGUGCCUAGCGCACUUUGUGGCGAAGUUAACGCGAUAAGUCGACCGCCUGGGGAGUACGGCCGCAAGGUUAAAACUCAAAUGAAUUGACGGGGGCCCGCACAAGCGGUGGAGCAUGUGGUUUAAUUCGAUGCAACGCGCAGAACCUUACC
rnacentral:rRNA from 1 species